CGAACGGGGUAGCAAUACCCAGUGGCGCACGGGUGAGUAACGCGUGGGAACGUGCCCUUUGGUACGGAAUAACGUCGGGAAACUGGCGCUAAUACCGUAUACGCCCUCCGGGGGAAAGAUUUAUCGCCAAAGGAUCGGCCCGCGUCAGAUUAGCUAGUUGGUGGGGUAAUGGCCUACCAAGGCUCCGAUCUGUAGCUGUUCUGAGAGGAAGAUCAGCCACACUGGAACUGAGACACGGUCCAGACUCCUACGGGAGGCAGCAGUGGGGAAUAUUGGACAAUGGGGGAAACCCUGAUCCAGCCAUGCCGCGUGAGUGAUGAAGGCCUUAGGGUUGUAAAGCUCUUUUACCAGGGAAGAUGAUGACGGUACCUGGAGAAUAAGCACCGGCUAACUUCGUGCCAGCAGCCGCGGUAAUACGAAGGGUGCUAGCGUUGUUCGGAAUCACUGGGCGUAAAGCGCGCGUAGGCGGCUUUUCAAGUCAGGGGUGAAAUGCCAAGGCUUAACCUUGGAACUGCCUUUGAAACUGUAAAGCUGGAGUGUCGGAGGGGAUGGCGGAAUUCCUAAUGUAGUGGUGAAAUACGUAGAUAUUAGGAGGAACACCGGUGGCGAAGGCGGCCAUCUGGACGACAACUGACGCUGAGGCGCGAAAGCGUGGGGAUCAAACAGGAUUAGAUACCCUGGUAGUCCACGCUGUAAAC
rnacentral:rRNA from 1 species